GACGAACGCUGGCGGCGUGCCUAAUACAUGCAAGUAGAACGCUGAAGAGAGGAGCUUACUCUUCUUGGUUGAGUUGCGAACGGGUGAGUAACGCGUAGGUAACCUGCCUUGUAGCGGGGGAUAACUAUUGGAAACGAUAGCUAAUACCGCAUAACAAUGGAUGACACAUGUCAUUUAUUUGAAAGGGGCAAUUGCUCCACUACAAGAUGGACCUGCGUUGUAUUAGCUAGUAAGUGAGGUAAUGGCUCACCUAGGCGACGAUACAUAGCCGACCUGAGAGGAGGCUCGGCCACACUGGGACUGAGACACGGCCCAGACUCCUACGAGAGGCAGCGGUAGUGAAUCGUCGUCGAUGGGGGCAACCCUGACCGAGCAACACCGCGUGAGUGAAGAAGGUUUUCGGAUCGUAUAGCUCUGUUGUAAGUCAAGAACGGGUGUGAGAGUGGAAAGUUCACACUGUGACGGUAGCUUACCAGAAAGGGACGGCUAACUACGUG
rnacentral:rRNA from 1 species